AGUAACGCGUAGGAAUCUACCAAAUAGCGGGGGAUAGCCCGGAGAAAUCCGGAUUAAUACCGCAUAAUCUCUACGGAGUAAAGAGGGCCUCUAUUUAUAAGCUUUCACUAUUUGAUGAGCCUGCGUAAGAUUAGCUUGUUGGUGAGGUAAAAGCUCACCAAGGCGACGAUCUUUAGCUGGUCUGAGAGGAUGAGAAGAAACACUGGGAAGGAGAAAAGGAAAAGAAGAC
rnacentral:rRNA from 1 species